rnacentral:misc_RNA from 1 species
GUCGGCUUCUCUCAACUAGGGACAUGCGCAGCGAGCCGCGGAACGACAGGUGCGCGUUGCGUCGACGACGGUCGCGAAUCGCUUAGUUUCGGGUAAGCGCACGAUUCGCCUCCACCUCGCCUCGGGAACGCCAGUCGUUUGCGACUCUGUCUCUGGCUCGGUUGUUCGCUCCCUCGCCAACCUCGUUGUCGUUGUGAACCGCCGUCGUCACCGAAUUUUCACCCUUCCACGAGGUCGUCAGCGAUCGCGGAAAAGAGAUCGUCGAUGAUCGCAUAAAUCGCCACAAUCAUCCGUUGCUCCAAAACGAUCAUUUCGCUGGAUCUUUUUGGCUGUCGACGCCCCGCAGAACCCCUUAUCGAACGCGCACGUGUUUUCUUCCCCUGUUCUUUCCUCGGUUUUUCUCUUCCUGUCAGUUUUCCUUUUUGCGAAGAAUCUCCUUCACCGAUAGAUAGAGUUUCUCUAUCGAAAGUGACGAGGGUGUUUCUUGCUUCUUCUCCUCGACCGAUUUUCCGUCCUCUCAUUCCGAUCGUCGAUUUCGAGAGGUGCGCGAGUUUCCCUUUAAAUUAUUAUUGAACCCAAAGCCGAAGUGCUAGGGCACAGGACAAGCGAUCAUAUCUCCUCGAUAUCGAGCUCAUAAAACUAGUGAAAUACUGCUGAUCCGAUCGUGAUUUUGUGUGGAUAUUACUGGUGGCUAUUUUGGUGAACGCUGCGGUGUACGGUGCUCUCUUGAUGAUUGUGGUACGCUAGGAAAGUUUAGAUACCGUCAGCGGAUCCCAGGUGGACCCCUCUCUCUCUCUCUCUCUUUCCCUCUCUUUCUAUCAUGCACUGGGGACAAUAUCUCUUCCGCGAAGCUAUGGAAAUGCAAGCGGCAAUCAUCUUCCUGUUUCUCGGCGGAUCCAUCCUUCUACACGAGGUCGAGGGUAGCGGCGAACCGUGGCUGAAAAGUGAAAAGUACGUUGAACUUGAUGAAAAAGCUCAGCUACCCUGCGUCCUGAAAUCACCGCAAUGCGAGGGUUUGCACAGCAUCAAAUGGUACCGCGGACCCACGAGGAUUUUCAUUUUCAGCGAGGCCGCCGGAAUUAUACGUGGCAAUAACGACAUCGCUGCCAGGGCCGACAUAGAAUACUCUGCGAAUUCAUCGAAAACGCAUCUGAUAAUACCCAACGUUCGACUGGAAGAUGAGGGUCUUUACAAAUGCGAAGCUACGUAUCUUGCGGUCAACCGCGAAUGCAACAACGUGCAGCACAUUAUCCUUAACAUCACAAUGCAACCAAAAUCUGUACGUGUCAUCGACGAAAAUUCGAAGAAUACUCUGAGUACGGGUUCCACUUUAGGACCUAUAAACGAAGGCUCGACAAUAGCUCUAUAUUGCGAGAGCGGCGAAGGCAAACCUGCACCUACAGUGGAGUGGUUUAAAAAUGACCAACUGCUUGAAGCGACGAGCUCGUCGACUAUCACUGAUACCGGGGCAGGCACUGGCAGUAGUUUGCUAGAGAUGCAAAUUACACGGGAAGAGUUAGGCGCAACAUUCACGUGUAAAGUCAACAAUAUUGCCCUCAUGGAGCCACUUGCAGUUGAUAUUAAACCAAAUGUACACGUGCGCCCGUUGAAGAUGGACUUAGAGGGAGUGGUUGGUCAUGUCGUGCAGGGAACGAAAGUUUUUUUGACAUGUAAGGUACAAGCGGCGCGACCCGCAGCCAACGUAACCUGGCAAAACGGAACGCAAUAUUUAAGCGAGAGCAACGAGAGAUUCGAGAUGUUUGAGACGAAAGUAAACGAAAAUAAGGACGGUACAUCGGACACGGUAAGUUAUUUGGCUUUUACGGCAUCGGUAUACGACAAUGGCAGAACAUUCAACUGUUAUGCCGAAAACUCUGUUACUCGUAUCGAGGAUUUGAAACCAUUGAAGGAAACGACAACGAUCGAAGUAUUAUAUCCUCCGAUAAUCAAAAUGAAGCCAAACAAUGUAACGGUUAAUGAGACAGACGACUUUUUAAUAUUCUGCGAUUACGAGGCGAAUCCGGCUACACUGACAAAAGUGACAUGGCGACGAGGCAACGAAGACUUAGUAUUAAACGAAGAGCAUUACGACGGUGGAAUCACAGAACAAACGGCGCUCACAGUGAAAAACGCAACUCCUAGCGACAUGGGUUCUUACAAAUGCAUCCUGGAGAACAACGCCGGCUCAUCCGUUUCCGAGGACGACGUAGAGGUCUCGGUCUUUUACAAGCCGGUGGUGGAGGUGAUAAUGGAUCCGGAAAUACCUGUGAACGAAGCAGAUCGUCAGAACGUUUCGUUAACGUGUGAGGUCAAUGCCGGUAAUCCGGCGAUGCUGACAGCCGUCCGUUGGUAUUUGGACGGUGAUCUAUUGAAAGAACUUCCGGACUGCCCGAGAAACAGCACUGCCAUGACAACGACAACCGAGGAAUCGUUGACGUUCUGCGACAUCGACCCUAGCAAGCUGCUGCUGGAAUCUGUCGGCCGUACCUUCCAUGGCAACUACUCCUGUGAGGGGAGAAACGAGGCCGGCUGGGGACCAAUCUCUCUGAGCACGCCUGUCAUAGUUUAUUAUAAGCCCGGUCCGGCAUCGAUAACAUAUGAACCUAGACAAGUAGUGAAGAAGCAGCCAUUAUCCAUUACUUGCUUUGUCUUGGAUCCCGGGCGACCGAAGGUGUCGGGCUUCAAGUGGCUGCGUGGCUGGCACCGUCUUCCAGAUGAGAACGACGCUACACUCUUCAUCGAAUCAGUUAAUUUGGAAACCGAGACGAAUUUCACGUGCCUGGCUUACAAUGAUGCCGGCGAUGGCGACCCAGCCACAACGUUUAUCGACGUAUCUGCGGCUCCGACGUUCAUCAAGAAGCUACACUCGUAUCGCGGUUACGUCUACAGCUCACCUAACGUGAGCAUCAUGUGCUGGGUCGAGUGCGCUCCAAUCUGCAAUAUUUCCUGGUUGAGGGAUGAUAUUCCCAUGGACUUCUCGAAAACGAAUCGAUACUACGUGUUGAACGUUUAUCAUCCGCCUGACCCGAGGACCAACGACUUCGAGAGCAUCCAAUCGACCCUCGUAUGGAAUCUGACUGUCUGGCCGAAUGGCCAGCUCGACCGUGACGAGGAUAACGUCAAAUUCACCUGCAAGAGUAGUAGCAACGGGAUUGGCCCGGGCGUGGAGAGCAGCACUCACUUUCACGUCGAGUUUCCUCCGGAAGAUAUCACGAUCUCGAAGAAGAUAAUCAAUGUGACAGUGGACACGAUCGCGGAAAUUGUCGAGUGCGACGCGAAAGCACGACCGAAACCGAACUUCCGGUGGUUCCGCGAAGGCUCCACCAACUUCACUAUGGAAGGCCACGUGCUCGAUUUGAAAAUGCCAGUACCCAGACGUAGUAACGGCACUUACUACUGCGAGGCGUCGAAUCGUCACGGUUCCUUGAAUAUCUCGAUGGUUAUGAACGUGCAAUUUAAACCGGAAUGCCACAUAGAGAAGGAACGAUUCGAUGGCCAGGAUUACGUGGUUUGCUCGGCUGUCGCAAAUCCAAAGGAGACGGACUUCAGCUGGUCUUUGAAGAACGAAAAUGAUACGCUGGAGCAAAUCGCGGAAAUGCGAAAUGGGCGAAGUUACAUACUCCUUGAUACUUCGAUCACUAACUUCCGGACAUACGUGUGUGUAGCGAAUAACACAAUCGGCCACUCCGUACCAUGCGAACGUGACAUACCAGCCCAUCAUGGACAUAAAAGUCAUAUACCCUGGUGGCAUCAAUUGGAGGGUAAUCUGCUGCUAAUUAUUAUCGUCGUAGUGGUGGUCCUAAUACUAGUGCUAAUACUAAUCUGCGUGGCGAUCUACAUCGUGUGUCGACGUAAACGCAGUCAGAUGAAAUAUCCCAAUCAAGCCGCGAAUAACAAUCAUGUGAACAGUGUGUCGGAAGUUCUGCCCGACUCGGGGACGAAGACAUUCUACGAAAACUUACCUUUCCACGGAAUUCAAGCGCCACCUAACAAGUUGGUUACUCCUAAGUUUGCCCGAGUUUCGGCUUUGCAUGGUACGUUGCAUCAUUCCUUCACGGCCUCGCCGUGCUCCUCGCGGCCACCCAGCAGAGCUGUCAGCCUCUGCGACGGCAGUUCCGGCUACGAAUCUACCAUGAGCCACCUGGGGCCCCACUACAACGUUUACAACGUGCCCAGGGGUAAUUCUCCGGUGCUCAAGUACAACACCCUGAAGCCGCGACGACGCAAGCAGAAGCACUCGCAGCAGUUUUACUCCCUACGGCUGUGCCGUCGACACGAAAACAUCCGCAAGAAGUACGAGUUGUACGCGAUACCGAUCUAUAAAACGUGUCCGCACAGAAGCGAUAGCACGGCCACGAUCGCGACGAUUGUCCGAUCGGUGGAGGAUACGCCGUCCUUGACUUUGAGCCAGGGAUCGGUCAAUCUGAUGAGCCGAUCGGCGCCUUCGACGCCGAUACCAUCAUCGCCAACGACACCGCCAAUACCAGCGCCGAGGAUGUCCAAGAAGAUCGAUCCGUCCAAACACACUUACCAAAAUGUCCCUGUCCCCGUUUUUCCGCCGAGAAACGCUUCGUUGCCUAAGCUUAAGACCGACAGCCUAUACAACUACAAAGAACACUACCAGCAGCAGCAUCGGCAGGAAAUGCAGCAGUACAGCUACCCCUUACCGAGCAACAGUUCGAAUCAACUAACACUGCCACUAACGCGCAACCUCUAUCAUCCCUCGAUAGUUAAUCCCCUGCAAACCUCCCUCGUUCACACUAACAACAGUCGGCCGUCCACCCUGGUGCAUCACGAGGCCGCCACGACCGGCAAUCACUUGCCCGCGGUGCAUCGGGAUGAGGAACAGCAGCAGCAGCAGAAUUAUGGCAAUCACGACGCGAGACAGUCGUCGUCGUCACGUCGACAUUCGACGACGAAUCGGCGAAACGAGCGUAACCGAAAGUAUCGGAAGUACGAGCGAACGUCGGGCGAUCGGAGCAAGUCGAAGCAAAACCGACAGAGAGGAGAGGCUCCAUCGCGACGUAACGAGACUACUUUCAACGGCGUCUCGCCUCCCGAUUGCGAGACCAGCUUCCACCAAAUCCCAGAUCUGAACGCGUCCGAGACGAUGUACAAGAUCUCGUAUCCGCAUUACUAUGAAGAUGACAUAAACGCGGAGUGUUCCACCGACUAUCACAGACCGAACUCGACGGUGGCGCGUCAGCAGCAGCAACAACAGCAGCAGCAGCCACCGUCGUGGAAUCGUCAAUCGAAUCGUAGCACCGGCAACAACACGUCGCAAUUGGCGACGGAUAUGGACGAUGCGAAAAGUCGCAACAAAAUAUCGAAGACGAGGCUGUCAACGGGCAAUGUCGGCGACGUUCGUGCACCCUCCGCGCCCACGAUAAUGCAAUACGCCGAGCUUCACUUCCGGGACGUCGGUCAGGAGAUCGAUGUCUAAAGGAGGGUCAGCUGACAAAGAGCGAUACGUACAUUUACUAGGACAAUUUGGCGUCCGACAAGCGUUCUCUCCCUUCAAGCCGGAAUUCUCGGAUCUCGAUUAUGCGGACGUGGAUUACAGAUCAUACGGACCGAUAAACUAUAAAGCCGCC